rnacentral:rRNA from 1 species
UACGGAGGGGGUUAGCGUUGUUCGGAAUGACUGGGCGUAAAGCGCGCGUAGGCGGAUCAGGAAGUUGGGGGUGAAAUCCCGGGGCUCAACCCCGGAAUGGCCUUCAAAACUCCUGGUCUUGAGUUCGAGAGAGGUGAGUGGAAUUCCGAGUGUAGAGGUGAAAUUCGUAGAUAUUCGGAGGAACACCAGUGGCGAAGGCGGCUCACUGGCCCGGUACUGACGCUGAGGCGCGAAAGCGUGGGGAGCAAACAGG